rnacentral:rRNA from 1 species
GAUGAACGCUGGCGGCGUGCCUAAUACAUGCAAGUCGAGCGAACAGACGAGGAGCUUGCUCCCCUGACGUUAGCGGCGGACGGGUGAGUAACACGUGGAUAACCUACCUAUAAGACUGGGAUAACUUCGGGAAACCGGAGAUAAUACCGGAUAAUAUAUUGAACCGCAUGGUUCAAUAGUGAAAGACGGUUUUGCUGUCACUUAUAGAUGGAUCCGCGCCGGAUUAGCUAGUUGGUAAGGUAACGGCUUACCAAGGCAACGAUGCGUAGCCGACCUGAGAGGGUGAUCGGCCACACUGGAACUGAGACACGGUCCAGACUCCUACGGGAGGCAGCAGUAGGGAAUCUUCCGCAAUGGGCGAAAGCCUGACGGAGCAACGCCGCGUGAGUGAUGAAGGUCUUCGGAUCGUAAAACUCUGUUAUUAGGGAAGAAAAAAUGUGUAAGUAACUAUGCACGUCUUGACGGUACCUAAUCAGAAAGCAACGGCUAACUACGUG